GAUCAUGGCUCAGAUUGAACGCUGGCGGCAGGCUUAACACAUGCAAGUCGAACGGUAACAUAAAGAAGCUUGCUUCUUUGAUGACGAGUGGCGGACGGGUGAGUAAUGCUUGGGAAUCUAGCUUAUGGAGGGGGAUAACUACGGGAAACUGUAGCUAAUACCGCGUAGAAUCGAGAGAUGAAAGUGUGGGACCUUCGGGCCACAUGCCAUAGGAUGAGCCCAAGUGGGAUUAGGUUAG
rnacentral:rRNA from 1 species